CGGCCAGAGCCACAGCCACAGCCGCGGCCACAACCGCAGCCGCAGCCGCGGCCACAACAUAAUAAUAAUAAUAACACAUUUAAGCAAGACGGAGGACACAGAGGAGACUGACACCCCAGAUGAUUCGGACGACAGCACGUGGUCACCUGACGAGUCAGAAGAAGGGUUGACAGCUGAUGAUGCACAAGAAGUGCUGCAGAGUCCUCUCAAAAAGUCACGCCGGAAGAGUGGUUAUUGCCUGCCCAAAGUGAGGAGUCCCGGUUCAU